CAUGGAUACUCAGUCUGGGCUGCUGGCCCAUGCCUCAUAUCCCAGCACUCAGGAGGCAGAGGCAGCUGGAUCUCUGUGAGAUAGAAAGGGAAAGUUGCCACCAUCUCUAGAACUGAAGGCUGUGCUUCUGUGGACGCCUGGAGGAGCAACCUUCCCUGGUAACUAAUGACGAAGCAGAAUUUAGCCUCUUGAUUGGACAGUGGAGUCUGCACUUCUUCAGCUAGGGAAAUUCUAACAAGCUAAUGGAAAAUUAAGAUGGAAACCUGCUGUCUCUGGAAAGAAAGUCUUGGGAAGUCAUGAGCCACUGGAAGACUGGAAUUCUCUGUACUGAGUGGGAAUAGGGACUCUCUGUGCUUUGAUUCUGCACGGCUAUGGCCACGGUCAGAAUAAGCUCCAGUACACAUCUGGGUACAUUCCCUCACCCCCACCAUUAACCCAGCCUAGACUUUCUGAUUACUCAAACCAUGAGGAUCUGACUCAGCCAAUGCAGUUGAUUUGGGGAACAUAUUGGUAAUUUAAAAUUAUCUAUUUGU
ensembl:lincRNA Gm20513 predicted gene 20513